UCAAUCCGACCCGACCCGUUAUUAAGCCUUACUUUCGACCGCCGCGAAGUUUUGAUUCGGCUUCUCUCUUUCCUCGUCUCUUUUCUGCCUAUUCGAACCUCGGCGGUACCAAAAGAUUUCAUCUUCGCUUCCUUCUCCAUUCGCCCCAUCGAGCCGGGAGGAGCGAGCGAGAGAGGAAUACAGAGACAAUCGGCGAACCAGGGAAUCAAUCCAAACAUGAGCCGCUACGAGGGCUGCGCCGCCGUACCGUCUCGUACCGCCAUGGGCGAGGGUAACCCGCCUCCCGGAACCCUGCCCUUACCCUAACUAAAUACAGGAAACGAAGAGUAAAUCGAAGUAGCGCUGGAGAUUUAAGUCCUUUUGCAAGCGGGAAGCCCGUGAUGUUGCUGAAUUUGAUGGCCUCAAGGCCUUCGGGCAGUUCCCGCGGCGGCCAUGACGGAGGGGGAGAUCGAGGCCUGUAUCCACAAUAUUUCUGUUGCCGGCGACGGCUGCGAUCCCGCCAGAGAGUGCUGGUGGUCUUAGUUUUCCAGGUUUGGUUUGAACCACCCCUCUUGAUUUCACUUUCUCUCUUCUGUACAAUUAUCUAAGACAAAAACUCCCUUGCACGUGCUUAUAUUUGACCAUAUUUGAUCUUGUCACUCGACCACUAAUCAUGCAUCAAUAAUGAUUCUUUUUGUGUCACAAACAAGCUGUAUAAGCAAGUAAGGCAGCAUGAAUUAUGAAGUGUACUUCAUUGUUCAAGACAAUGAACCCUACGUCUCCUGAAUCAGAUGGAGGGGGCGAGCAGGCACGAGUGCAGAUUAUCAUGGCUAAUUUUCUUGCAUAUAUAUGCGUCUGUCAACCUGUCAGGACAGAUAAAGAUCGGCCUCAUCCAUUUAAUUUCCAGGCAAUUGACAGCCCACUUCGCCCUUCACACAAGAUUGAAGAUGGGUUGGAACAGCUAGAGGACCAGAUUGUUAUGCAGAGUAUUAGUGUCGACUACUCUUAUUCUCCUCUAAAGGCUUGAGGUCCAAAGUCUCUACACCAUGCAUCAUUGUUGUUGCUGAGUUUAACUUUUGAGGAGCAGGUAAUAAUGCAGUUGAUAUCUCCGAACAGGCUUUUGACCAUUGUCGGUUGGUCGUUUCUAAAGGUUGAAGAUUCGAUCAUGUCACACUCCCAAGGUACUGCUGCCCUCUGAAGCAUAUGGUUGACGUGAUGGCAUACCUCUCGCAUGAGGCUCUGCGGUCAAAUAUGGUCUCAUGAGAGAGUGUUUUAUCUUUGUAAAGCCGCAGAGGCCGAAGAAGGAUUACGCAAGGCCUGGUAAAUCUUCGGUGCCCCCAUCGCAACUUGCAGGCCAUGGUGGGGGGUCCAUUACAGGACUAUGGGCGCCAUCCUCUUCUCCAUGAGGAGGAACCUCCUUUUGCAGGUGCAUCUGAGCAGAUACACAUCGAGGGGGCAUCCGACGGCCAUCGUGCCCAUGCUAUGUGAGCAAACCAUGGCUGCGGUGGAGGCCAUGUUCACCCCUCGUCUUCGGUUCAGGGAGUUCGGGGUCCUUCUCGUAGCUAAAAGUGGUGAACAAGGGAAGGGUACUCUUGAAGAAACGCAGCCGGAGCGGAGCGCACGGGUCAAUGAUGAAGGACGUGUGUUGGUGGGUCGGACCACCGCUAAGAUCUCAAAGGACAUGGCAAUCCUUCACUGACAUGGACGGAACGUUACGCAUGCAGGGGGGCGCAACCCCACCGAACUCGAGUCCGACUCUAGUCCACUACGAGUAACACAUUUGGCACAAAGGAACGAGACCUCCUUUUGAUUGCCUUGGAGGUAUGUAUUCCACUGUUCUCACUUGUUCAUUGUUUAAUGUCCAUUACGCAGGGUGACGGAUUAUUCCCAAAUCGGAGGUGGCCUUUCUUUAUUAAUUGACAUGUUCUUUGUUUUUUAGUUGCUGCUUUCGGUUAUGUGAU